GAAGUGCGAUAAGCAAUGCGAAUUGCAGAAUUCCGUGAAUCAUCGAAUCUUUGAACGCACAUUGCGCCCCCUGGCAUUCCGGGGGGCAUGCCUGUCCGAGCGUCAUUUCUGCCCUCAAGCACGGCUUGUGUGUUGGGUGUGGUCCCCCCGGGGACCUGCCCGAAAGGCAGCGGCGACGUCCGUCUGGUCCUCGAGCGUAUGGGGCUCUGUCACUCGCUCGGGAAGGACCUGCGGGGGUUGGUCACCACCACAUUUUCCAUUAUGGUUGACCUCGGAUCAGGUAGGACUACCCGCUGAACUUAA
rnacentral:misc_RNA from 1 species